rnacentral:rRNA from 1 species
GUGCCAGCAGCUGCGGUAAUACGUAGGGUGCAAGCGUUGUCCGGAAUUAUUGGGCGUAAAGAGCUCGUAGGCGGUUCGUCGCGUCUGCUGUGAAAACCCGAGGCUCAACCUCGGGCCUGCAGUGGGUACGGGCGAACUAGAGUGCGGUAGGGGAGAUUGGAAUUCCUGGUGUAGCGGUGGAAUGCGCAGAUAUCAGGAGGAACACCGAUGGCGAAGGCAGAUCUCUGGGCCGUAACUGACGCUGAGGAGCGAAAGCAUGGGGAGCGAACAGGAUUAGAUACCCUGGUAGUCCAUGCCGUAAACGUUGGAACUAGAUGUGGGUCCAUUCCACGGAUUCCGUGUCGCAGCUAACGCAUUAACGUUCCCCGCUGGGAGUACGGCCGCAAGGCUAAAAC